rnacentral:rRNA from 1 species
AGUGAAGCGGCAACAGCUCAAAUUUGAAAGCUGGCCUUCGGGUCCGCAUUGUAAUUUGUAGAGGAUGCUUUGGGUGAAACGCCAGUCUAAGUUCCUUGGAACAGGACGUCAUAGAGGGUGAGAAUCCCGUAUGUGACUGGAAAUGUUAACCUAUGUAAAGCUCCUUCGACGAGUCGAGUUGUUUGGGAAUGCAGCUCUAAAUGGGAGGUAAAUUUCUUCUAAAGCUAAAUAUUGGCGAGAGACCGAUAGCGCACAAGUAGAGUGAUCGAAAGAUGAAAAGCACUUUGGAAAGAGAGUUAAAAAGCACGUGAAAUUGUUGAAAGGGAAGCGCUUGCAAUCAGACUUGUUUAAACUGUUCGGCCGGUCUUCUGACCGGUUUACUCAGUUUGGACAGGCCAGCAUCAGUUUCGGCGGCCGGAUAAAGGCUCUGGGAAUGUGGCCUUCACUUCGGUGAAGGUGUUAUAGCCCAGGGUGUAAUACGGCCAGCCGGGACUGAGGUCCGCGCUUCGGCUAGGAUGCUGGCGUAAUGGUUGUAAGCGACCCGUCUUGAAACACGGACCAAAA